rnacentral:rRNA from 1 species
UACGUAGGGUGCAAGCGUUAAUCGGAAUUACUGGGCGUAAAGCGUGCGCAGGCGGUAAUGUAAGACAGUUGUGAAAUCCCCGGGCUCAACCUGGGAACUGCAUCUGUGACUGCAUUGCUGGAGUACGGCAGAGGGGGAUGGAAUUCCGCGUGUAGCAGUGAAAUGCGUAGAGAUGCGGAGGAACACCGAUGGCGAAGGCAAUCCCCUGGGCCUGUACUGACGAUCAUGCACGAAAGUGUGGGGAGCAAACAGG